GACGAACGCUGGCGGCGUGCCUAAUACAUGCAAGUCGAGCGAAUGGAUGGGAGCUUUCCCUUCCGUUAGCGGCGGACGGGUGAGUAACACGUGGGCAACCUGCCUGUAAGACUGGGAUAACUUCGGGAAACCGGAGCUAAUACCGGAUAAUUUCUUUCUUCACAUGGAGAAAGGUUGAAAGACGGCUUCGGCUGUCACUUACAGAUGGGCCCGCGGCGCAUUAGCUAGUUGGUGAGGUAACGGCUCACCAAGGCGACGAUGCGUAGCCGACCUGAGAGGGUGAUCGGCCACACUGGGACUGAGACACGGCCCAGACUCCUACGGGAGGCAGCAGUAGGGAAUCUUCCGCAAUGGACGAAAGUCUGACGGAGCAACGCCGCGUGAGUGAUGAAGGUCUUCGGAUCGUAAAACUCUGUUAUCAGGGAAGAACAAGUAUCGGAGUAACUGCCGGUACCUUGACGGUACCUGACCAGAAAGCCACGGCUAACUACGUGC
rnacentral:rRNA from 1 species